GGUCCGAACCCACGAGCGUUGAAAAGCUCGGGGAUGACUUGUGGGUAGCGGUGAAAUUCCAAUCGAGCCCGGAGAUAGCUGGUUCUCCCCGAAAUAGCUUUAGGGCUAGCCUCAAGGUGAGAGAUACGGAGGUAGAGCACUGAAUGUCCUAGGGGGUAUUGCACCUACCGAAGACUAUCAAACUCCGAAUGCCGUCAUCUUAUACUUGGGAGUCAGACUGUGGGUGAUAAGAUUCAUAGUCGAAAGGGCAACAGCCCAGAUCGUCAGCUAAGGUCCCUAAAUGUAAGUUAAGUGGUAAAGGAUGUGGGAUUGCACAGACAACCAGGAUGUUGGCUUAGAAGCAGCCACUCAUUCAAAGAGUGCGUAAUAGCUCACUGGUCGAGUGAUCCUGCGCCGAAGAUUUCCGGGGCUAAAACUUACUACCGAAGCUACGGCAUCAGUAAUGAUGGGUAGGGGAGCUUCCCAUACGGGUUGAAGCAUGACCGUAAGGACAUGGGGACAGUAUGGGAGUGAGAAUGUUGGCAUGAGUAGCGAGAUGUGGGUGAGAAUCCCACAGGCCGUAAACCCAAGGUUUCCAGGGGAAGGUUCGUCCGCCCUGGGUUAGGCGGGACCUAAGCUGAGGCCGAAAGGCGUAGGUGAUGGACAACAGGUUGAUAUUCCUGUACUACCGAUAACCGUUUGAGAGAUGGGAUGACACAGUAGGAUAAGCUAAGCACACUGUUGGUUAUGUGUGCCCAAGCAUUGAGGCAGUCAAAGUAGGCAAAUCCGCUUUGAUAAUGCUGGGAUGUGAUGGGGAGCGAAAUUUAGUAGCGAA
rnacentral:rRNA from 1 species